rnacentral:misc_RNA from 1 species
UUUCCGUAGGUGAACCUGCGGAAGGAUCAUUAUCGUACAAAAUGUGUAGAGGCAUGCGAGGGCUGUUGCUGACUCAAAGUCGUGCACGCCGGAGCGUGUCCUCUCACAUAACAAUCCAUCUCACCCAUUGUGCACCACCGCGUGGGCACCCUUUGGGAUCAGAUCGAUCCCCGAGGGGGUUCACGUUUUCACACAAAACCCCUCCCCUUUAAAAAGUGUAGAAUGACCUCAUAUAUGCAAUCAAUACAACUUUCAACAACGGAUCUCUUGGCUCUC